CUCUAAUUAAACAUACUGUGCUUUCCUUCUGAGCUCUUCCACGUCUCCAGAAGUCCUGAGACAUUACUGUAGCGGCUUAAAAGACAGUUUGCAGAGGGGAAAAUUAUGCAGGCAUGGAGAGGAGAAUCUUUGAAGUCCCUUUUCACAAUGGGGAUGAGGAGGGAGAUGCACAGUGAAGGCGGGCAGCCUGCAAUUGUAUAGAUGGUGUGUUAUGGCCUGGUGCUGGGACCAGGACUGAGAAUGAGGAAGACCCUUCCUUCUGACAUGGAGAUCCACAUGGGCAUCUGAAGGGGCAAGACCUGAGGUGGGGGCUUUGGGUUGAAAAGUAUUGAUCCCGAGUUCUGCCAAGCUCUGCACUCUCUCAAGAUUUACCACAGUGCCCAGCAACAGAAAACACCAAGAAGAGGGAGACUUCAGAGAUGCUGAGUUUCCACGAAAUGCCUCCAGCACAACCUGACAAUGGCUCCAACUAUCACCUGUAGCUGAUCAACAUCCAGCCAGGGGACCCUCAGUCUUCGUUGUACAGUAGAGUAAUCUAGAAGAUUUUUUUAGACAGAGGUUAAGGCCUCCUUCCAGACUUGCUGAACCAAGACAACCAGGAUGAUGUAGGAAGAUGUGCCAGUCGUUUUGUUGUUUGCCUGUCUGAAAGACCAAUAGCUUGAAGGUGGCCUCUGUUGAUUGUUUAAAAGAAAACACCGUUAUCCUAGACACAAAUAAAAAUGCUGCACUUCAGUCCUUUCCCAGAAGAAGGGGGACCUUGAAGCCUCCAGAGUGAAAGCUUCCAUGGGAAGAAUAUUUGCAUCUCAAGAUCAGCUAGCUGUAAAUCAGCAGGAACCUUCAGGGGGCCUUCAGCCUCAGUCAAACCCCAAGGGGACAAGACCCCCACCACCUGUGAUGAACAAGCCUCUGACCUACAGCUAGGGCAGCUGUGCCUACUACAGUCACUUCCUCUGCCACUUGAGAGGGGCAUGCAAGAGAAGCUGACAACUCAGACCCUCCUUUCAGGGGAGGGUUCUCCCGGUGGAUUCCUGUGUGAGGCAGAAGAGAGGGAAGUGAGGGAGGAUUGUAGGGAUGAGAGGGGGCAAACCAUUACCUCUGAGAUUUUCUCCAAGGAAGGGGGAAAAAGAAAAGUAUUAUUAAUACUUUUAAUUAAUAGUCUAAAGGUGGAACAGAUUUCAAGGAAUAGACUGGGAAAUGGCCAGGGCUUCUCCUAGACCAUCGAAAAAGCAGCAAAUACUUGGUGGAUGUAGAUGCCAUGAUCACUAAGGGCUAUUCCUAAUUUAGGAGAAGGAAUUCCAAUAGCUACACCCUGAACUUCUAGGUGAUGCUGAGCACCUUCUUUAUAACAUAUCUUAGAAGCACUAUCCGAAAUACCUUCUUCAAAUUCGAUACCUAGGUUUGGCUAUUCUUGUGAGUUUAAAUUUUUAACCGAAGUCUCAAAGUAGUUUGGGUAUUGAUAGACAGGGCCAUGCAUUGAGAAUCAUCAUCUUAUUAAACCAUUGACCGAGUCAAAGAUCUCAUAGCUUCAGAAUUAUCUACAAUCUACCACUUUAAAGACAUUUUCAUUUAACUUAUAGGUCUCUGAGGAGAGUUAAUAUUCCUGGGCCACCCUCCCUGGCAGUUUCUCUUUUCUCUCUGUGUCUUAAGCCUUCGUAUGAGAGUUGGAGGAGUCAGGCCUGGAGGAUAUCUUCACGUUGGCUCAGAACUCCCAUUAAAACUUUUCUAUAACAAUUGGUGCCCCUUGACCCUGAAUCUAGAGGCUCAGAUCUCAGAUGGAAGGAAAGGACCCUGGCCUUCUGCAUUAAGAGAGAGGAAUAAUGUACUACUAGGAAUAAGUUAAUGGAUUAGGUAGAAAAAAAUUAGGUCUACCAGAGGAGGUAGUUAUGGUAUUUGAUUUUAAACUCCUGGCCUGAAAUCCCAUGUGUAUCUACUUCUCUGGCAAUAUAUUACCUUAUCUCUGCCUGCUGUUCCUUACAGCUGUGUGUUUAGGAUUCCUGGGCUUGCUUUCUUUGCAAAGGCCAUCUGAGUGCAUGUGGUCAAUGAGAGUAUUUCUGGGGCUUCCUUUCUACCACUUGUGGAGGACUGGAGACUAAAUCAGGAUUGGAGGGAAGCAGGCCUUUCUGGCUUUCCUUUCAGGGAUUCUAGCUCUCGAUGGAUUCCCUGUCAGUGAUGUCAACCCUUGCUGGGCAGCUUCAGAACAGUGACUUGUCACCCUCUCCCAGUGCCCUUUCAGGAAGGACAGGGUCUCUUCCUGCUGCUACUCAUCCAAGGGUUUUCCCACCGAUUUAGUUUCUUACAUUUUCAGUUAUCUACACAACCAAUUUCAUAAUUGAAUUUAUUCUGCUUGAAAUACUGAGAUAUGGGAGAUUGCUUCUUUUCCGUUCGGGCUCUGCCCAGCCUAUUUGCUGGGCAUGAGUGAGUGUACCAUUUUGUGGCACUUGAGGAGUGGUGUAGGGAGCUAAUGAAUCUGGGCUCACAAUGCUGAGCUUUCAUUUCUGACCAUAGACAAAUCCCAGUUUUUGGAUUUUUUUUUUUUAAAUAAAUCUCAAAGGAUACAUUAUCCAAACACUAGCUCCUCUCUUUGUCCCCAAGACUGCUCUUCCCACAAAUGGAAUAGGAUUUAGACUUUAAUAGACUUAUUGAGAACAGCAGAAAUAUCAUGUAUGAUCUGUCUCAUGUUAUGACUUAUUUUAAUUACUCAUCAUAAAUGUUCCCUAUAUAUAAAUACUCAUUAUAAAUAUAAGCACUCUUUUAUGCUGGGCCCAGGCAUGGCUUCACCAAUGUUUUUCAACAUAAUGAUCCUGGCAAGGGAUAAGCUUUGGCAAGCAAGUCAAAACCCAUUUUCCACCCAUGAUUCCAAGUCCUUACUUCCUUUUUUAAACCUAGCCUGAGAGGCAAAAUCCAUGUCAGAUGCAUGGGAAUAUACAUCUGUAUCUUAGAGUGAUGCUGGCAUGUCAGUUUGGCUCUCCAUAGGUGAGUGUGCACACACAUGUGUGUGCACAGAUACAUGAAAGUUUAUUUUUUACAUUUAGAUAUUGUCCUAUAUUACAUACACACACACACACACACACACACACACACACACAAAGAUAGGUAUACACAUCUGUGCUUAAGCUUAUAGAAUUUGGCUGGGGAAGGCAGCUGAAUGGUCACCUCCCCCACUACUUUCAUUUUAAGGGUGGGAAAAAGUGAGUUUCAUUUUCUGAAUACAAGGCUAUGUGUGAAAGUACUAUGGCAAAGUAGAAGAAAAAAAUUCAUCUUGAACUUUUAGUAGAUACUUGUUUUGGUUGGCAAGGGGCCAUCACCCAUAAACAUGCAAGUUUUGAAUGUCUAUUUGGGUAAUUAACACACUUAUCAACUUUUUCUUUUCCACUCAUGGAGGUUGAGAAUGGAAAAAUGAGCCUGCCAGUUGUCAUGGAAGACAGGGGGAAUAAGAAACCCACAGAUGACUUUUAAUUUCUCUAAAACUGUACCUCUCCGGAGUCUGAUGAAAUCGGCUUAUUUUGGUCCAGCUUCUUGGGCCUGAGUUGGACCUACGAAACCAAAGGUGGCAUGCAAACAGAAAGGUCUGGCUCUUGCCUUAGCUGCUUUAGUCUGUCUACUUGCUGACUUUUAAAAAAAAUCAUAAACGCUCUAGCAAUGAUUGCAGCAGAUUUCCCGUCCACCGUAAAAUGAAAGUGUUUGAAAUGAGGAGCAGAAUAGUUGAUUUGUUUGGUUACAUUUCCCAGGGACAGUACAUGGCAGAUGGAUGGGAUCCAGAUGUUGGGAAGUAUUAAGGAAGAACUUCUAAGAAGCCAAGGUCUAGAUUUCCCCCUGAAGCUGUGUCCAGCUCGUUACUUGUACUCCAUAUGUUCUUGCGAAUUUUCCCCUCUGCUACGUCAAUUAAAGGCUUCCUUGCCUUCCCUUUGCUGUGCUGUUAUUGUGAAAUUUUGACUUUCUCUGUCUUGGAGCACUUUAAUUUGAAUGCUCAUUGUUUAUGGUGUGGAACAGCUCCUGAACCAUACGCCACAGAGGGACCUCAGUUUCUCCAGCUUCAUCGUUUGCUCCGAUUUCAUGAGACUGUAUGGGAGACAGACAUGGCCAGGAGGUUUCAGCAGACUCUCCAGACCCAAUUUUCUCUAAUGCCCCAACGACAAUCUCCUCUUCCCUUUGCCAACCAGGCCUCUUAGAGUUUCAGAGCUGGCUGAACACAUGUGUCCUCGGAGGUCUGCCUUUAGAAGCCGAGCAUGCUUUGGGUGAAUGCUGUGGAUGAUGUUCCGUAUCAUCUGUUAGCAUCCUAGUUCAAGUGCAAGCAUGCUUGAAUCCUCAAACCACCUCACUCAACCUUUGGAAGAUCCUAGGCCCUGGGCUUGGUGGACUCUCUGCCUCCACAGUUAACUCCCAACUCAUCUCUUGCAACAACCUUUAUCAGAACCAUCCCGGGAAAAAUACAAUUACUCUUGUGGAAGCCACAAUGCCAGUCUGCAUGAGGCCGGCUGCUUCUGAGGUCACGUGGGGUCUCUAGGUCCUUGGCUCAUCUUUUUUGGCUGAGGCACAGGAACGUGAAACUUUAUCAGAUCCAGGAUAGCUGAGGGAACCAGGAACAACUGUCCACCUCCCCUACUUCUUUCUGAGUGUCUUGCAGAGUUGGAGAGGCAACUUAGUCAUUAAAGGGUCAAACUUUGAGCACGUAUAGCUCUCUGAUGGUUGGAAGCUUGAUUAGAGGCAUCUGGAACUCGGGUGCUGGAAGAAUCUGCUACAAUGCAUGAAACAGCUUCUGAGACGGUCCACAUGCAGUGACUGCAUUGGUCAGGUGGCAUUCCCUGCGGUCCCCUUGCACUAACAACUUUCACCACGCUGUUUCUUCGAGGAAGAAUUUCUGAAUAGCUUCUGCAGCCCUAAGGUCAGGUGACUUGAACAGCUUGCCCUUGGCAAGCUUCUGAUUCUUUCUUUGUUCUUGAAGCCUGAUCUUAAAGUACAUGCAGUCCAAGUAGAUGCAGUAUCGGAUGAAGAGGAUGUCACACACACACACCUGCCCAGGCGGUCUAUUCCUGCCAAUCACCUUUGCUGCUCUGGGGCAUGUGCUGGGUACAGCAUUGGCCGAGCAGUGGUUAGCUCCCUCGUGCUGGGAGUGUGUGAGUUGCUCACAGCCACGCAUUAGGUCUGGAAAGCCUAGUUCACUUCCUUCUCAUGUCUUCCCAGGCUGUCCUUGGAGGCCUGUUUUUGGAUUCUCCAUCUGGUUUUCUGACCUUACUCCACCCCUCUGAUUGCCUCUCUGGCUGUAUUCAUACUCACUCACCAUCAGGAGGCUCCUAAACCAGGGACUGCAUGUGAAGAACCAUACUCUCUGCCCCGAGGAAGCCCCAUCAGGCAUAAAUUCUUGAUUAAUGAUACAUCUGCCCAGCAGGUAAUAAAAAAAAACUUCUCCCGGGUGCAAAGAGCAAACACAAGGAAGGGGCUGAGCUCAGAGCACUGCACAGUCAACAUCUUAGGUACCACAGGGUCAGGCCUCCCUGCAGAACUGACAUUUCUCUAGAAUAGCAGAAACACCUUCUUAAAAACACAUGCAGAGGAAGAGAACCAUUCAGAAAUAUUUUCUAAAGUAGGCCAUAUCCAUAUAUUAUGACCCUACAAUUCUACUUACAGGUAUAAACUCCAUAGAAAACAGCUUAUGGCUCACCCAAAAGCAUGUGCGAGCAUGCUUAUGGCAAUCUUAUUCAACAACCAUAAACUAGAAACAGAAUGUGCAUCUUGGGAAUACAGGCAAAUAAAGUGUUAAGUAUGCAUACAAAGGGGCAUUAUUCAGAAACAAGAAUGAGCUGCCUUCAACUACUUGCUUCCGUAUGAGUCUACAGCUCUAAUGAUGAGGAAAGGCUGCCAAUCACAAGGGAGUGAUUGAGUCUGCUCAUUGUCAGCUUGGUGCAGAGCUGGCUGCUGGAGUUUGGCUAAGGCUCUGGUGCCUGAUCUGCACACUGGAUGUGAACAAGCAAAUCUCUAAGUUAUGUCUGGUAUGUUUCUCUGCAGAUAUAACAGCUGUAGUGGUGUCUCUGUUCUCUAGUCUUCAGAUUUUUUUUUGAGCUGCUUUUGGCUGACAUCGCUACUCACCAGUUAAUAUGGAAGAUGGUAGCUAUCGAUGGCAUCCACGUUUAUGCACAUUUGCCUUCUCACUUUCUUUAGCAGGAUGCAGCAUCAUGCCCUAGGUACCUUGCUACAGCUACUGCUUGCUUCAGUGCCUGACAUAUUAAAGGUGAUCAAUAUAUUUAGAGACAUUAUUUGCUGAGGAGGGGAGAAAGUAUUUCUGGGAUUUAGGCAACUAAAGAUUCAUCCAAAACACUAUAGGGGAAAAAAAAUCACAACGUAGUUAGGAAUCCGGGGAGUACUGAGUGGCUACAGGAAAAUUGGUUUUCUGGGAGGUAGCUUGGCUGUUUUCCCAAUAUCCCUAAUAGUUAGGAGUGAGUCAGAAAAGCCAAGCCUCCUGCUUGUGGCUAUCAGGCUACCGGGAGGAGAAGCCUGAGAAAGUAGACACUUGGCUUGGCUAAAUUGUAGCCAUGGGCAGUUGGCUUGAAGGAACUGGGGAUGCAGUGCUAAAGACAUGGCCAGAGACAGGGAGUCUGGACCUGGGCUUGUUAGAGCCGGUCUAUGAUGUGGGAAAGAGAGAGUUAAAGCACAGGAACAGACAAGACUUUGUGGUUGAUGGAAGCAGGGGCUUGACAUUCAGCCAACUACACAACAGAAAAGGGAUAGCAUACUAUAAAUGUCAGUAGAGGUGAGUAGUGAAAUUCUAAAAUAUGUUUUAAGA